GUCACGAGUUUGAUCCUGGCUCAGACAACGCUGGCGCAUGCCUAANACAUGCAAGUCGAACGAGACCUUCGGGUCUAGUGGCGCACGGGUGCGUAACACGUGGGAAUUUGCCUCGGGGUAUGGAAUAACUCAGGGAAACUUGAGCUAAUACCAUAUAAUGUCUUCGGACCAAAGAUUUAUCGCCCUGAGAUAAGCCCGCGUAGGAUUAGCUAGUUGGUGGGGUAAAGGCUCACCCAAGGCGACGANCCUUAGCUGGUCUGAGAGGAUGAUCAGCCACACUGGGACUGAGACACGGCCCAGACUCCUACGGGAGGCAGCAGUGGGGAAUAUUGGACAAUGGGCGAAAGCCUGAUCCAGCAAUGCCGCGUGAGUGAUGAAGGCCUUCGGGUUGUAAAGCUCUUUUACUCGGGACGAUAAUGACGGUACCGAGAGAAUAAGCCCCGGCUAACUACGUG
rnacentral:rRNA from 1 species